rnacentral:misc_RNA from 1 species
GAAAUGCGAUAAGUAGUGUGAAUUGCAGAAUUCAGUGAAUCAUCGAAUCUUUGAACGCACGUUGCGCCCCUUGGUAUUCCAUGGGGCAUGCCUGUUCGAGCGUCAUUUGUACCCUCAAGCUCUGCUUGGUGUUGGGUGUUUGUCCCCGUCUCCGCGCGUGGACUCGCCCCAAAGUGAUUGGCAGCCGGCGUACUGGUCCCGGAGCGCAGCACAUGUCGCGCAAACGAGUGCCUUGGUACGGCGGCGUCCAUAAGCCCCUCUCUCACGCUCUUGACCUCGGAUCAGGUAGGGAUACCCGCUGAACUUAAGC